AGGACGGGCGGCGUGCCUAUAAUGCAAGUCGAACGCUUUUUCUUUCACCGGAGCUUGCUCCACCGAAAGAAAAAGAGUGGCGAACGGGUGAGUAACACGUGGGUAACCUGCCCAUCAGAAGGGGAUAACACUUGGAAACAGGUGCUAAUACCGUAUAACACUAUUUUCCGCAUGGAAGAAAGUUGAAAGGCGCUUUUGCGUCACUGAUGGAUGGACCCGCGGUGCAUUAGCUAGUUGGUGAGGUAACGGCUCACCAAGGCAACGAUGCAUAGCCGACCUGAGAGGGUGAUCGGCCACACUGGGACUGAGACACGGCCCAGACUCCUACGGGAGGCAGCAGUAGGGAAUCUUCGGCAAUGGACGAAAGUCUGACCGAGCAACGCCGCGUGAGUGAAGAAGGUUUUCGGAUCGUAAAACUCUGUUGUUAGAGAAGAACAAGGAUGAGAGUAAAAUGUUCAUCCCUUGACGGUAUCUAACCAGAAAGCCACGGCUAACUACGUGCCAGCAGCCGCGGUAAUACGUAGGUGGCAAGCGUUGUCCGGAUUUAUUGGGCGUAAAGCGAGCGCAGGCGGUUUCUUAAGUCUGAUGUGAAAGCCCCCGGCUCAACCGGGGAGGGUCAUUGGAAACUGGGAGACUUGAGUGCAGAAGAGGAGAGUGGAAUUCCAUGUGUAGCGGUGAAAUGCGUAGAUAUAUGGAGGAACACCAGUGGCGAAGGCGGCUCUCUGGUCUGUAACUGACGCUGAGGCUCGAAAGCGUGGGGAGCGAACAGGAUUAGAUACCCUGGUAGUCCACGCCGUAAACGAUGAGUGCUAAGUGUUGGAGGGUUUCCGCCCUUCAGUGCUGCAGCAAACGCAUUAAGCACUCCGCCUGGGGAGUACGACCGCAAGGUUGAAACUCAAAGGAAUUGACGGGGGCCCGCACAAGCGGUGGAGCAUGUGGUUUAAUUCGAAGCAACGCGAAGAACCUUACCAGUCUUGACAUCCUUUGACCACUCUAGAGA
rnacentral:rRNA from 1 species